UACGGGGGGGGCAAGCGUUGUUCGGAAUUACUGGGCGUAAAGGGCUCGUAGGCGGCCAACUAAGUCAGACGUGAAAUCCCCAGGCUCAACUUGGGAACUGCGUCUGAUACUGGAUGGCUUGAAUUCGGGAGAGGGAUGCAGAAUUCCAGGUGUAGCGGUGAAAUGCGUAGAUAUCUGGAGGAACACCGGUGGCGAAGGCGGCUCUCUGGGCCUUACCUGACGCUGAGGAGCGAAAGCGUGGGUAGCGAACAGG
rnacentral:rRNA from 1 species